rnacentral:rRNA from 1 species
GGCUCAGAACGAACGCCGGCGGCAUGCUUCAUACAUGCAAGUCGAACGGUUGUAGCAAUACAAUAGUGGCGAACGGGUGCGUAACACGUGGAUAAUCUGCCCUUUGGCGGGGGAUAUCGGCUGGAAACGGCCGGCAAUACCGCAUGUGGCCUACGGGACCCCGGUCCUGUAGAAGAAAGGCGCUUCACGGCGUCGCCAGAGGAUGAGUCCGCGGCCCAUUAGCUAGUUGGUGAGAUAACAGCCCACCAAGGCUUUGAUGGGUAGCCGAGCUGAGAGGUUGAUCGGCCACACUGGGACUGAGACACGGCCCAGACACCUACGGGUGGCAGCAGUAGGGAAUAUUGGACAAUGGGCGAAAGCCUGAUCCAGCAAUGCCGCGUGAGUGACGAAGGAUUUCGGUCUGUAAAGCUCUUUUGUAAGGGAAGAAAUGACGCGUGAGGAAAUGCUCGCGUCUUGACGGUACCUUAUGAAUAAGGGACGGCUAACUCCGUGCCAGCAGCCGCGGUAAUACGGAGGUCCCAAGCGUUGUUCGGAAUUACUGGGCGUAAAGGGAGCGCAGGCGGAUAGUUAAGUCUAAAGUGGAAGCCCGGGGCUCAACCUCGGAACUGCUUCGGAUACUGGCUAUCUUGAGUUCGUGAGAGGAAAGCGGAAUUCAGGGUGUAGCGGUGAAAUGCUUAGAUAUCCUGAGGAACACCAAUGGCGAAGGCAGCUUUCUGGCGCGAUACUGACGCUGAGGCUCGAAAGCGUGGGGAGCGAACGGGAUUAGAUACCCCGGUAGUCCACGCCGUAAACGUUGUGCGCUAGGUGUAGGAGGUAUCGACCCCUUCUGUGCCGCAGCUAACGCAUUAAGCGCACCGCCCGGGGAGUACGGUCGCAAGACUGAAACUC